GGCCUGCAAAACUUGAAGCAGCACAGAACCAAAUCAAACUGUUUGAAAUAAUAUAUAAACAUAUAUAUAUU